CAUUUACAUUAAUAUGUCCAAUUAACCAUCGUUAAACCUAGGAUCAAGUACAACCCCUCAUCUUCUGUCACCACGACCAGCCGCCCCCGGAGAUCGCCAGCGGCAGCGAUCGAUCUCCAAACCUCCUCAAAAUUUGAACCCAUAGUCCUUGUUGCCUUCCCACUGCAAAUCCAUCACUAGUUUUCUCAUGAAUUUCAAAUCUCGGAAAGAAGAAAAUUCGAGUUGGCUCCCUCUCCUAUGAUUUUCUCUAGAUUUCUCCGAUAUUCGCUUCUUUUGAUACUAUCACGAGUGAUAAGCUAAUUAUUCAAUCAAAUUCGAGGCCUAUCAUGGAAGCCAGUUUAGCCAAGCAAUCUAUGCUCCAAGUUCUAGUUCGUCUCAUUUUCAAGAUAGGUGUCGAAGAUUGUGAUAUGGAGCGUUAGCCGUCGGAGAAAUUCUGGUUAACACUCAUAUUACAAUUCUCGCCGCUUAUCGGAUCCUCCUUAGUCGUUGAUUUCUUUGACGUCGUCAAUCCGCUGUUAGAACCCGGUACAUUAUUCCCCUCUUUACUGUAAUUUCAAUUCUUUUUCUUCUUUUGUUGCUCGCUAUCUUGAUGUCAAACAUUAGUUCUGGUGUGGUAAAUUAGCAUCGAUAGCUUAGUAAAAUCAUUAUUGUUCUAUUUCUUGUUCUGUUUGAUUUAGAAGUGUUGUUGUUCAUAGCUUCAAUGGUAUUGUAGUUUUGGUCAUUCUUUACUGAUUUAUGAAUUGCGCUGGUUUUUUGUGUUAAUCACGUUUGGGCUUUAUAAAAAGGGAGCCCAAAGCGGGGCAAGGAAUUCUGGUAGCCCGCAUGGUUUGGGCCUGUAUGUGCCUCACUUGAGCCCUCUGUUUUUCAGGGGAGGGUAAAUAGUGAUGGCUAUGGGGUGAUUUGGGCAGUCUAGGUGGGGAUUUUGUAACUAACCUGGAAGUUUCUAGCAGGGAUCUGCUAGUAAAUUUCAGGGUAUAACUUGGGAAACAAGUCUCAUAUAUAGGGGACUAAAAAUGAAAACCAAAAUUUGAAAGGUACCUUAAGGAUUUGCCUAUAAAGGCAUUGUAAAGAGGGCCGAAAAAAAUAGAAAAAGAAAUAUAGGGAAGUAUGGCUAGUUUAAUGGAUUCCAUAUAAGUUCUAAAAAUCAGAAAUAUUCAAAAAAACUCUACUGUUUCAUAGAACUCUCCUUUCCUUCUUUGAUAUCUGGAGUUUCCUUUCAUUCUCUGAAAACUAGACUCGACUUAUUUGGGUGUUGAAAUGGUUUGAAGUUGGAGUAAUAAGUUGUUCAUUAGGAAUUAUUUGGUUUGAUGGACCAUUGGCCUGUUAAAGUUGGGUUGCUGGUCUGCUGUUGUUGCGUCUAUUGAUCUUCACUUGUUUCUUUGUUUCCUGUCUUAUCCUAGGUACACAUCUCUGAAAUGCAAACAAUGUAAUCUGCAAUUUGGAAGUCAGAAAAUGGAAUAAAAUGUGUGGAUGUUUAAUUGUUGGUUCACAAUUAGCUUCAGUUUGCUUCUUUUCCUGUUAAUUCAUGAUGUUUCUUGAAAGCUGUGUGCAUUUACCUUAUAGUUUAACCAUGUUUUAUUUAAGCAUGUAAUCGUGGUCAUAACUUAGAUUAUUGAUUCAUUUAUUUCCUUUUGUCUGUCGUGCUUUCUCUUUAUUAAGUGUUGGAAAUGAAUUCUGUUAAUAGGACUGAUCGAAAGCUAUUUUUUUGUUUUUUAAACCAUUUUCCAUGUGCUAGGUAAGGAUUUCUCAUUUGGUUCUAGUGUAUCUUUGAAAUUGGCAUAGAGGAAGGGUGGGUGUUUGCUUGAAAUGGAAGGUGAUAUACUGACUUCAGGGUUCUUCUAGCUUGGGAUUGGGGGUUUCCAUAAUUGAUAUAAGUUUGUUUUUGUUCAAAGGGCUUUAGGGGAACUAUAUGUUUUCAAAUUUGAGAGCCUGACAGUUUGAUACUAUUUUAUACAUAUGUGUAAGGUUCUAUUAUGGAAGUAAAUUGAAAUGCUGCAUGUACAUUUGUAUUAAAUGGAUUGCAUAAUUGGGCUGCGUGUUCGUUCAUAACUCGGCUCGUCUUGGGCCAUGGAGAUGUAGAUCAUGGACUAUUCGUUUUGGGGUGUUGUGGGUUUGUCUAGUACGCCCAAGGCUUGUAUUGUCGCUGCUGGGCUUGUCACAUGGCUGCCUUGAGACACACGCAUUUUUUU
rnacentral:lncRNA from 1 species